CCUGAUGCAGCGACGCCGCGUGGGGGAUGACGGCCUUCGGGUUGUAAACCUCUUUCAGCAGGGAAGAAGCGCAAGUGACGGUACCUGCAGAAGAAGCGCCGGCUAACUACGUGCCAGCAGCCGCGGUAAUACGUAGGGCGCAAGCGUUGUCCGGAAUUAUUGGGCGUAAAGAGCUCGUAGGCGGCUUGUCACGUCGGGUGUGAAAGCUCGGGGCUUAACCCCGGGUCUGCAUUCGAUACGGGCUGGCUGGAGUGUGGUAGGGGAGAUCGGAAUUCCUGGUGUAGCGGUGAAAUGCGCAGAUAUCAGGAGGAACACCGGUGGCGAAGGCGGAUCUCUGGGCCAUUACUGACGCUGAGGAGCGAAAGCGUGGGGAGCGAACAGGAUUAGAUACCCUGGUAGUCCACGCCGUAAACGGUGGGCACUAGGUGUGGGCAACAUUCCACGUUGUCCGUGCCGCAGCUAACGCAUUAAGUGCCCCGCCUGGGGAGUACGGCCGCAAGGCUA
rnacentral:rRNA from 1 species